rnacentral:rRNA from 1 species
GACGGAGGGGGCAAGCGUUGUCCGGAAUCACUGGGCGUAAAGGGCCCGUAGGCGGCCCUGGUGCGUCGGUGCUGAAAGCGCCCGGCUUAACCGGGCGAGGCGUGCCGAUACGACCGGGCUGGAGGCAGGCAGAGGGUGGCGGAAUUCCGGGUGUAGUGGUGAAAUGCGUAGAGAUCCGGAGGAACGCCUGUGGCGCAAGCGGCCACCUGGGCCUGGCCUGACGCUGAGGGGCGAAAGCGUGGGGAGCGAACCGGAUUAGAUACCCUCGUAGUCC